AGUGUGUAGAACUUGUACAAUAGAGCUUAUAGGCUAAUGAGAAGACAGGAAGAAACAACAGGAACACAUAUAGCUGGAGUGCAGAUGGGAUCUGUGCUACUUACGCUAGCCAUGGGAUGAUUAGAACAAGAUAAGAGACAUGAGGAAGACUUCUUCAAGGAGGUGCUCAAGCCAUGUUUUGGAAAAGAGAACUCAAGGUCUGGCAGGGAGAAAGGAGCAAGACUGCCUGGUAGCUCUUUAGAAAGUUGUGUGACAUAUGAACCAAUUCUUCUCUAUGUGAGACUGUACUGUACAUCGCAGGCUGUCCAGCAUCGACCCUACUGAUGGAUGCUAGUAGUCCUCCCCGCCAGCACUCAACAUUGUGACAGUCAAAAACAUCCCCUCUACAUUUCCAAUGCCCCUGUUGGGGUAGCAGGACUCCCACUGAGAGACCCUAGUAGAGAUGGUCCCCAAGCAUGCUAACCAUGAAGCAGUGACAUCGCACAGCACCUGCUUCCAGCAGCCCGGAGCCAAGGGGCAAAAUGGAAGGAGUCAGCAUUUCUCUUUUAGGUUCUCUGCCUCUCCAAUGUGUAAGCUUUUAACCCCCACUAUGCAUCUUCAUUCCAUUCUCCUCCAGUACCCAUUUUAGUGAGCUUCUGUUGUUUCUGCCCCAAGAUAUCUCUAACAAAGAACCAAGAUAUUUAUCAGGA
rnacentral:lncRNA from 1 species